AAGAGACAAAGAUGGGCAUUACAUGGUAAAGGGGUCAACCCAACAAGAGGAUACUCAAGUUAUAAAUAUUUAU